GAGGGUUUUGAUCUAUUGUAGGUUUCCAGUAACUUUUAGUCCUUGUUGGUAUCAAUAUUUUGUCUUGCUAACGCUGAUGUUUUCAUUUUUGCCCUAGGAGGCUUGACUCAACCUGCCGGACACUAAAGGACAUCACUCUGAGCCUGAGGGAGGGGCUCUCCUUUGGUCUCCCUCUUUUGUCCAGCCUUGCCCCAGGAUAUUUUUCUAAGCUGAGUUAGCCACUAGGCACUCCACAUCGCUGCCCGCAUCACCACGCUGCGGCAUCUGCUGUUGCAUCUGCGAUCCACAAGGCCUACACCAUUCGCCAUCGCACCUGGCUGUUUGUUGCAGAUAUUUCUCAGGUCUCUUUUACGCCCUGCUACACUCCUCACCUGAUAUCGCAAGGACUCUUUUUUUUUUUUUUUU
rnacentral:lncRNA from 10 species